ACCUACGGGGGGCAGCAGUGAGGAAUAUUGGUCAAUGGGCGCGAGCCUGAACCAGCCAAGUCGCGUGAGGGAUGACGGCCCUACGAGUUGUAAACCUCUUUUGUCGGGGAGCAAAUUCCGUUACGUGUAACGGAGUCGAGAGUACCCGAAGAAAAAGCAUCGGCUAACUCCGUGCCAGCAGCCGCGGUAAUACGUAGGUGGCAAGCGUUGUCCGGAUUUAUUGGGCGUGAAGCGAGUGCAGGCGGUUC
rnacentral:rRNA from 1 species